GGGGCUUUAGCUCAGUGGUAGAGCACUUGCCUAGUAAGCGCAAGGCCCUGGGUUCGGUCCUCAGCUCUG
rnacentral:tRNA from 1 species